CUGCCCAAAAGAGGGGGAUAACACUUGGAAACAGGUGCUAAUACCGCAUAACCAUAGUUACCGCAUGGUAACUAUGUAAAAGGUGGCUAUACUACCGCUUUUGGAUGGGCCCGCGGCGCAUUAGCUAGUUGGUAGGGUAAAGGCUUACCAAGGCAAUGAUGCGUAGCCGAAUUGAGAGGUUGAUCGGCCACAUUGGGACUGAGACACGGCCCAAACUCCUACGGGAGGCAGCAGUAGGGAAUCUUCCACAAUGGGCGAAAGCCUGAUGGAGCAACGCCGCGUGGGUGAAGAAGGUCUUCGGAUCGUAAAACCCUGUUGUUAGAGAAGAAAGUGCGUGAGAGUAACUGUUCACGUUUCGACGGUAUCUAACCAGAAAGCCACGGCUAACUACGUGCCAGCAGCCGCGGUAAUACGUAGGUGGCAAGCGUUAUCCGGAUUUAUUGGGCGUAAAGGGAACGCAGGCGGUCUUUUAAGUCUGAUGUGAAAGCCUUCGGCUUAACCGGAGUAGUGCAUUGGAAACUGGGAGACUUGAGUGCAGAAGAGGAGAGUGGAACUCCAUGUGUAGCGGUGAAAUGCGUAGAUAUAUGGAAGAACACCAGUGGCGAAAGCGGCUCUCUGGUCUGUAACUGACGCUGAGGUUCGAAAGCGUGGGUAGCAAACAGGAUUAGAUACCCUGGUAGUCCACGCCGUAAAC
rnacentral:rRNA from 1 species